rnacentral:rRNA from 1 species
GACAGAGGUGCCGAGCGUUGUCCGGAUUUACUGGGCGUAAAGCGCGCGCAGGCGGCACUCUAAGUACGCUGUGAAACAUCCCGGCUCAACCGGGAGGGUGCAGUGUAGACUAGGGAGCUAGAGGUCGGUAGAGGGGGGUGGAAUUGCUGGUGUAGCGGUGAAAUGCGUAGAUAUGCGGAGGAACACCGAUGGCGAAGGCAAUCCCCUGGACCUGUACUGACGCUCAUGCACGAAAGCGUGGGGAGCAAACAGG